UGAAUACGAGAUGCUACGGCGUCGAAGCAGCGUAUGUCAGACUUCCAAGAAAAGCUCGCAAUGUCAUAAAUAAAGAAUGCCUGUACCAUAACCGACACAGGUGGGUAGGUAGAGUAUACUAAGGGGCGCGAGAUAACUCUCUCUAAGGAACUCGGCAAAAUAACUCCGUAACUUCGGGAGAAGGAGUGCCUUCUUUAAGAAGGUUGCAAUAACAAGAUCCAAGCAACUGUUUAUCAAAAACACAGGUCUCCGCUAAGUCGUAAGACGAUGUAUGGGGGCUGACGCCUGCCCAGUGCCAGAAGGUUAAAGAAGUUGGUUAGCUUUUGCGAAGCUGAUGACUGAAGCCCUGGUGAACGGCGGCCGUAACUAUAACGGUCCUAAGGUAGCGAAAUUCCUUGUCGGGUAAGUUCCGACCCGCACGAAAGGCGUAAUGAUUUGGAUACUGUCUCGGAGAGGGACUCGGUGAAAUAGACUUGUCUGUGAAGAUGCGGACUACCUGCACCAGGACAGAAAGACCCUAUGAAGCUUUACUGUAACUUGAAAUUGAAAUUGGACUUUAUUUGCGCAGUAUAGGUGGAAGGCGUUGAAAGUAAUCUUGCGGGAUUAGUGGAGCCAUCAGUGAGAUACCACUCCUAUAAUGUUAGAUUUCUAACUUUGGAUCAUGAUCUGGUCAAAGAACAGUUUCAGGCGGGCAGUUUGACUGGGGCGGUCGCCUCCCAAAUGGUAACGGAGGCGUACAAAGGUUUCCUCUGAACGGGUAGAAAUCGUAUCUAGAGUGUAAAGGCAUAAGGAAGCUUGACUGUGAGACCUACAAGUCGAGCAGGGACGAAAGUCGGUCUUAGUGAUCUGACGGUGCUGAGUGGAAAGGCCGUCACUCAACGGAUAAAAGUUACUCUAAGGAUAACAGGCUGAUCUCCCCCAAGAGUUCACAUCGACGGGGAGGUUUGGCACCUCGAUGUCGGCUCAUCGCAUCCUGGGGCGGUAGUACGUCCCAAGGGUUGGGCUGUUCGCCCAUGAAAGCGGUACGCGAGCUGGGUUCAGAACGUCGUGAGACAGUUCGGUCCAUAUCCGGUGUAGGCGUUAGAAUAUUGAGAGGAGCCUUCUUUAGUACGAGAGGACCGAGAAGGACAUACCUCUGGUGUACCAGUUAUCGUGCCAACGGUAAACGCUGGGUAGCUAUGUAUGGAGAGGAUAACCGCUGAAAGCAUCUAAGUGGGAAGCCCACCUCAAGAUGAGUAUUCUCAC
rnacentral:rRNA from 1 species